rnacentral:lncRNA from 1 species
GCCUCGUGGGCUCCUCAACUCAGGGUCUGGAAUGCAGGAGAUCCCAGCCCUACUAAUAUUGCAAGGGAGAGAAGAAUGGCAGAGCAUAGGGACUGGCAGGAGCCGUCUUCACUUCCCUCCAGGAACGAAGCACAGAGAGAUGACCUGGAAUGUUCCAGGUCACAUAGCCAGGAGGAGAGCCCAGGCUGUGAAGGAGAAACCUUCCAAGGGUGUCCCUCCCGGCCCUUCUAGGCUUAGAUGAAGCUGCUUGCCUGCUUGCUGACUCAGGGUGGAGAAAGGCUGGGCCGUUGACCUCAGCAGGCUGGAAUAAGAGAGGGAGUGUGAGGGUGGGGUGUCGUGGGGAAGUCAGGGGCAGAGGAAAAUCCAGGAUGUUGCACAAGGAAGAGUGGGGAGAGGGAGGGUCCAUUUUAAUGAGGCAGCUGGAGAGAGGGGCUGGCUCCCUGGACAGAAGGCUGCCGCCCCCGUGAUGAUGCCCCACGCUGCAGGGAUCAAAGCUGCCCUGGGCAUUCUUCCCUGGGAACUGUGUGACAGUGCUGGCCUGCUACUGCCUAAGCUUCUCACAGGGCCACCUGACGUGCCUGCCUCGGUUUCCCUCAUACCCAGCCCACCGCCCCCACUUGUUUCUGAAGAAGCCUGUUCCAGCCCAAUGGCCCUCUCCACGCCUCCAGCUUGGGUUGCUGACUCAGUGACUCAGUCCACUGGGUUGAUGUCCAGGGACUCCUGUGGCUGCAGACCAUCCAUCUCAUCAGUGCCAGGCUCGCCUUUCUGGCCCUUGGUGCCUUCCAGGCCUCAGCCACCAUCUCCAUCUCCCUUUGUCCUUGAGCAUGGCUCUGGACACAGCCAAUCUGAUCUGCUCAAUAUCCUCAGUAUCUGACUCUCGCUUUUGCCCUUGGCCUUUGCACUGGCCAGCAAAGUGAAUGCAAUGGGCCUGGCCCUCUCUCCACCCUGGACCUUUCCAAGUCUUCAUUUCAGCUUGACCCCACCGAGUCCUGCCAUUAGCCUCCCUACGUGUGAGCCUCCCUUCUCUCGGCUGCUGUCUCUGUAGUGUGCUGCACGUAGAGGUCCAGCAGGGGCCAGGAAGCCCAGGGGAUUUUGCUGAGAUGGGACUGGAGGAGAACUGGCUCCUGCUGGGUUACCAAGUGGCGUUACCAUUAUCACCGGCAGCAGAAGAGGGAUCCGAGGGCCAGUAGUGGUGGAGGUGACCCCACUCACCCAAGCAUUCCAUGAAGAGGCUGAAUUCCUUGAUGACUCUUCACAGGCGAGCAAGGAACAAGUUUUGAGAAACCUGAGUAACACCGUAGGCUCAAGGUCUAGAUACAAAUGUUCCUGAAUACUCAGUCUGGCUGUAGAUACUUGGAUUGGAAACAGACUCAGUAGGUCAUCUUGUCCCCCCUCCUGCCUUUGGCAGAACUGACUGUUUUUUUCCCCCUUUCUUCUUCUUCUCCCUAAAGCCCCCCAGUCCAUAGUUAUAUAUUCUAGUCGUGAGUGCCUCUGGCUGUGCUAUGUGGGACGCCUCCUCAGCAUGACUUGAUGAGUGAUGCCAUGUCCACACCCAGGAUCCAAACCGGCGAAACCCUGGGGAGCCAAAGCGGAGUGUGCAAACUUAACCAAUCGGCCACGGGGCCGGCCCCUUGACUAACUCUUGAUAUAUGGUUGUCUUACUCUUUCUAUAUCUCCAGGGAUCAUGAUACUACACAUCCCUCCACUCAUUUACUCAUCCAUCCAUCCUCCCACCUGUCCAUCCAUCCACCCAUCCACCCACCCAUCCAUCAUUUAUUGAAAGAUGAGUAAGACAGGGAUCCUUUCCUUUAAGAACUAAUGGUAUAUUCUUUUCAGGGGUUCCAAUGCCUAAACAACAGGAGUAAUUUCUAAUGUCUGAUCUACAUGUCUAAUGUCUAUGUCUAAUUUCUAAUGUCUACUCUACUGUCUUCAUGUUGUAAAUAAAGAUUAAGGUAAAACAGGUCAUGCAGUCAUGCAUACUUGAAUGCAUAAUUCAUUCCACAAAACUUUUGGAGCAUGUUCUUGGCUCCAGGUGUAUUAGAAGAUGCCCCUCUAUUUUGGGCAUGCCGCUUACCUUUCAAGCUCACUAGGAAUACUCCAAGGCCAGGAAAUUAACUGGCAUUUAACACGUGG